rfam:Daphnia magna strain Xinb3 scaffold01581, whole genome shotgun sequence.
GACUCAUGGCUAAAUGGUAGAGCCUCGGCAUGGUACGCUGGAAGUACAGGGUUCGAUUCCUGUAUGAGUUA